UCAGGCAUCCCGGAGAAGGCAGGGGCUGCCGAGAAGAAGAAUGCGCCGACCAUCUACUACGUCGUGACGCACUCUCAGAUAACCCAGGUGGUCCGGGAGCUGCGCAAGAUGAUGGCCAUCUUGGCCUCAAGGAAGCACUAUUGCGUCAAUAAGGCCGUAUGCAUGGCGUUGAUGAGGAAUGCAAAAAGCUCCUAGACGACAAAGUUCAUGGAUGCCCAGAAUUCAAAAACUGAAUCGUCGCCCAUCUCUUCAGACCGAUGGCUGCUAUGAAGUUCAUGAUAUUGAGGAUCUUCCUAGGGUUGGAAGACAGGUCAAAGGAUGUCCAUAUUUUGCUGCACAAACCAUGGCAAAAGCAGUCGAAUUGUCAGGAGAGCAAUGGACAUUGAUAUCACUGGCUCAAUUGUUAUUCUCGAUGAAGCGCAUGGAGUGGAGUCGGCCAUCUGGAUGUUUGCAGAUCAGUCGAAGAAGAGAGGAAGGAUCUUGAGGAAGAGUCAAGAACAAGGUGAACAUCUUGCCCGUCGCAACCCGACGGCUGAGGCGGCAAUGAGCAGCGCCCAGCUGGAAGAGGCCGUCAACCUUGAUAUUUUCUUCAGUUUGGUAUUGGCCAAAAUUCUGUAUCCCUGAUUGCUCUACACUUACUGCUCCGGUGAGUUCUUCCCCCAUUUUCCUCUUUGAUUCCUUGCUUCCGUUGUUCAACAUGAUCUACUUUCUAAGUUUAUCAAGAUUUUGGUGGCGUAGCUGGUUUACAGGCUAUAAUUUUAUUUCAACCAAGUGUAUGUGCUAUGAUAUUAAGGUUACUGGGACAAAUGGUGUUUCUGUAAGGCUAGACCUAUUUCUUCUCUUCCUAAAUCAGUGAUGCACUAAUUAUCUUAACUAUUCUAUGAAUCUCGUCUAUCAUCCGACGAACAAAGCUUGCGGCGCAUGUUUGAGUUUAUUCCAAUUGUUGCACAAUUUGUUCUUCUGGAAAAGUCGUUGCAGAAUUUUAAUGGCGUCAUAUUUCCUUUAGAGAAAUCUUCUACUGAAUUUUUAUUUCCCUGAUACAUGCUUAUCAUUUUUUUGCCAUACAUGCUUAUCAUUUGGCAUAAUGUUAUUUUGGACACUUAAUUUUUUCUUGUCUUCCACAUUUUAAUUCAAGGAGCAGUGGUAGAGUUUGCAAUCUAUUGUGGCCUUGCACCUCUUCUAAUCUGUUGCUGGAGAAUGAUCCUAGGCCUCAUUAGUUAGCUUGAUGUAUUUUUUAGGAUACGCUUGAGGCUUGCGUCUGCUUUUACGUGUAUUUACUGUUGUCUUUGGAAAUCUGAUUUCGGCAAAUCCACUGGAUUUGGAGCAACGUUCAGAGGUAGGCACAACACAAGCAUGUUUAGUUGUUUGACAAUUUUGUUUGUUUUUCUGAUUGAAGAUGGAUGCUAACUACUUGAUUCUAAGGUGAUUCGAGUCGCUUGAUAAAAGUAGAUGCAGAUUAUCUGCACUUAUCUCAUACUGAUGCUUCCCUUUCUAAAAGCAAGUGAAUCCGGUCAUUCCUGCCAAGAUAUAUUUUAGGUUACACUAACCUGACCGUAUUGACCGUAUAUACUACUGGCAUACAAAAUUGAUUAGGUGGUGACACAAUGUCCCUUAUUAAGUGUUGCUGUACCUACUGCUAAAUUAACCAUGCACAGUGACACAAUGAUGUGUUUGAUCUUCGAAUGUUUCUUCACUCUGAAACCCAGGUUAGACUUGUCCCCUGUUAAAUCUGUGGUUAUACCUUCUGCUAAAUUAAGCAUGCACUUUCAUUUGCUCUAUUAUAUUCUCCAAAUGAAAACGGAUAGACGAAUUCUAAAUGGUCGUAAAACUCUAGGGUAAAUCUUUGCUGGGUCAUAUGUGAAUUUGGCCUCCAGUCAUUUACUUAGGUUUCUGGAUUUGCUUGGAUUAUGGAAAGUUUAGCUCACGAGUGUAGCCACUUCGCCAUUUGUUUAUUUGAUCGAAUAACUUGUAUCUAUUUCUUUUUUAACAAGAUCGUGCUGCUCUUGAUUAUUUGCUUUAUGUUUUUGAUUGAGCCGAGCGAGGAGAACCAACACUAUUUAGCUUUUGGGGUCUCUGUUUCAAAUGACUCGACGUGGCCUUGGCGACACUGGCUUGUAUAGGAAGAGGAUGCUGAUGACUCCUGCUAGAGAGCUCAUCGACGACUGCAACAAGCAGUCCCAAGGGAAAAGGAGCGAUCACCCCACCAAACUUUUUUGGUCGAUCUGGGGGAGGAGCUGGACCGAACGAUUCGCCCCAGGCCCCCACGCGAAUAGUUGCCCUGCAGGCAAAAACAAAACUUUGACUAGGCCUUUACAACCUCCAAUUAGGCUAAAAAAUGGCCCUGUUUUUUGUGACGCCUCAACACUUGGAUCAUCGCUCGAGGUUAUCGCUUUUGAGUUUCAGAUCCAUUUAUCAAGGAUGACUCUGCUUGAUGUCGCCGCAUACCAGCAGAAGAUAAAGCUUAGCCAUAGACUGGAAGACUGGGGCUAUAUAGAUUGCUUUCUAAAACCAAUGCAGAUCACCCUGCUGAAGAAGAAGGAGAGGAAGUUAGAAAUCAGUUUUCAGUUUUACAGGUGCAAAAUCAACUCAUUCCACUGUAAUACUGGACAUCCAGAUGUCCAGGAUGUCGGAAGCAUCCGCGUUGCAUUCAUGAAUCUGACAUACACAUAUAACCUACAUGGUGCUACUUAAAAUUUGUGAAUGGUUUGUCGGCAUGUUACUGGGAUUUAGAGGCAGAAAAGUCUUACUCCUAACUACAUGGAGUUCUCAAUAAAUUAUUCUUGUCAUUUUUUCGAGGUGAUGUUCGCUCCGGUUCCUCCUUCUCUACCCAGCAGUAUGGGUAACUCAAAGCAUAGAUCUGAUUGUGCUUCUUGCAGUCUAUGCUUCCUAUCUCCGGGUCAUCCGCCUCCCAAAGACUACUCCGAGGAGAAUCGAAAUAACAGUCAGUCGUGGAUGGAUUAGAAUGGAAUACUUAUUACCUUGGUGACAAUGUCGGGCGGGCGUUGAAUCGUGGACAUGUCCCCCAUGGAUCUAGGCGGCUGGGCGAACAGAUGGACCGAGCUCCCUCCUCUGCCCAAGAAGCAGCCGAGCUCCCUCCUACGCCCAAGAAGCAGCCGAACUCCCUCCUCCGCCCAAGAAGCAGUCGAGCUCCCUCCUCCGCCCAAGAAGCAGCCGAACUCCCUCCUCCACCCAAGAAGCAGCCGAGCUCCCUCCUCCGCCCAAGAAGCAGCCAGGGAAGCAGCACCGACGACCGGAACAACAUGGCGGAUCCAAAUCGCCAGUCUCCUCUGUCCAGAGCUGAACUGAGUGGCUGCCCCCAUGAGAGGACACGGGCACAACCAAACCCACACACACCAGACACGCGUGCAUGGUGGCUUAUCCGGUGGGAGACUACCGCUUGCUCCCGCUGAACCAUUGUGUCCCACAACGCUUGCACCUGUCCACCCGUGAACGCGGUGUCCCACUGCCGCUUGCACCUGCCCACCUGUGAACUGCCGCUUGCACCCGUGAAUGUUGUGGCUCACCUGGAAAAUGCAUAUCUGAGCGCUCGCAGGUGCCAGCCAUCUAUUCCAAGGGGAGAAAAAAAACUCUACUCCCAAGGAGUUUUUCUUUUCUUUCUAAA